rnacentral:rRNA from 1 species
GAUAAACGCUGGCGGCGCACAUAAGACAUGCAAGUUGAACGGACUUAAUCGAAAUAUUUAUAUUUUGAAGCGGUUAGUGGCGGACUGGUGAGUAACGCGUAAGGAACCUGCCUAUUAGAGGGGAAUAACAGUGAGAAAUCAUUGCUAAUACCGCAUAUGCCAUAGAUAUCACAUGAUAACAGUGGGAAAGGAGCAAUCCGCUAAUAGAUGGCCUUGCGUCUGAUUAGAUAGUUGGUGGGGUAACGGCCUACCAAGUCGACGAUCAGUAGCCGGACUGAGAGGUUGAACGGCCACAUUGGGACUGAGGUACGGCCCAGACUCCUACGGGAGGCAGCAGUCGGGAAUAUUGCGCAAUGGAGGAAACUCUGACGCAGUGACGCCGCGUAUAGGAAGAAGGUUUUCGGAUUGUAAACUAUUGUCGUUAGGGAAGAGAAAGGACAGUACCUAAGGAGGAAGCUCCGGCUAACUACGUG